CCAUCAAGUCUGUGGUACUUUGUGAGAACAGCAACAGAAAAUGAAUGUACCGGGUGACACGUCUCCGAGAAGAGCUCUCCAGGUGCACGGGGCCAGGGAUGGACACGGAGCCGCAGGAGAGGUCUGUGAGCUCACAGGUCCUGGAGCCUUCGGGCCUGCGUGCCGGUGCGGCGGGACCCCAGCAGCUCCGCGCAGAGAAGGGCGCUCUCACCUGCCCGGCUAGCUGGCGUGUGGGCGUCCGGCUUGAACAGCUCCCUACAGGCUCUGGGAGCAGGUGCAGCAGGUGCUCAUGGUCUAGAGGACCACCCAGCGAGGCGAACACCUAUUUCAUGCAACUGAGAGCUGAACAAACUGGAACAUUUGUGAACCAGCCCCCAGGACUGUGAGAAGCAGAUGCCGGGGAGGCCGUCUUGUCGCAGCGUCCUGUUAGAGUGGCUCAGGGUGAGAUGACGGGGAGCCUGGCCUGCAAUUGUCAAAGCCCGCCCCGGGGUCUCCGCCCGUGUGGCCGCUGCAUGGGACGCGAAUGUUCACCCUGGGGUCCUGCUCGGACGCGUUUUGCUCCUGCCAUCCCAGCGGCGCCGGCGGGGACCCUGAGUCAGCUCUCCAGACGGCAUUCCAUGCACGAUGCUGCCGCUCGUGCGAGGAACACUGGGUGUCCCGUAGAAGAACGCUCACCCUGGUGGCAGCAGCAGCUGAGUGAAGGAGAAGGGAGGAAGCCCAGGCGGCCGAAGGAGAGACGCCACUCUUCCAGAACCUGGAAGUGCCGCUGGCAUGAGCGAACACUGGUCACUAAAGUUCUGUCCGACGCACACGUGGGAGACGUCCGCUUUCCGGUUUUCUUCAACCUCUUCCUCUGCCUGCCUCCGCGUUUCCUUCAGAAGUCCUCCCUGGUCUCCUCUUCUUGCUCCAUUUCUGAACUUUAG
rnacentral:lncRNA from 12 species